AAGAUGGUGAAUGAAAUGGCUUGUAGGGUAUGGAGUGUGGGGAGGACUUUCUUUUCCAGAUAUUUAUGUCUUUGGAAAACACAUUACAGUCAAAGGCCACUGUUUCAAUAUUGAAUAUGGCUGGGUUCAAAGUGAAUAGAAAGUCAACCUUGCACUGGUGAUCAGGACCCAGGUAGGAUCUGACUUAUUAGCCAUAAAUCUUUGAACUGCUCCCACCUUACAAGGAAAGUACCAUCACUGACCCUGAGAUAUUUACUGAGCCUAAUAUUCCAAAUUCUGUGCUGGGUGUUGGAAUGGCACAGCAAAAUCCUAACCCAGCUUGCAAUCUAUGUGGGAGGCAGAUAAAUAAGCCGGCCCAUUGGUGAACAAAUAAGUUGUGUAACAAAUUAACAUGUAAUUUAUCACAAAUAAGUUGUGAUAAGAACAUCAAAGGAAAGAACCUGUACCACAGGAGAGAAUAAUGGGC
rnacentral:lncRNA from 1 species